GUUCAGAGAGUUGAGAGCAGUGAGGGUCCUCUCUAAUCUCUACCCAUCCUGGAGGUGCAUCGUCUCGUACUCUGAAUAUAACUUCGGAUACUUAACACAGAGCCCUGUUUUGUUAUGGUAGAGUGCAGGAGAAAGAGUGCUGUGGAUCCAGUUUAGAUCAAUCCUUAAAUAAAGAGGAGCAGGAUGACUUGCGUGCCAUCUGGCAAUAGUUCCUCGUCCAGUUUUUCAACUAAGUGGCAUUUGAGCUGCUAUAUUGUAGCCGUUACUAAACUUAAUCCCAUCGAUACAC
rnacentral:lncRNA from 1 species